rnacentral:rRNA from 1 species
CGGGGGAACUGAAACAUCUAAGUACCCCGAGGAAAAGAAAUCAACCGAGAUUCCCCCAGUAGCGGCGAGCGAACGGGGAGCAGCCCAGAGCCUGAAUCAGUGUGUGUGUUAGUGGAAGCGUCUGGAAAGGCGCGCGAUACAGGGUGACAGCCCCGUACACAAAAAUGCACAUACUGUGAGCUCGAUGAGUAGGGCGGGACACGUGGUAUCCUGUCUGAAUAUGGGGGGACCAUCCUCCAAGGCUAAAUACUCCUGACUGACCGAUAGUGAACCAGUACCGUGAGGGAAAGGCGAAAAGAACCCCGGCGAGGGGAGUGAAAAAGAACCUGAAACCGUGUACGUACAAGCAGUGGGAGCCUCUUUAUGGGGUGACUGCGUACCUUUUGUAUAAUGGGUCAGCGACUUAUAUUCUGUAGCAAGGUUAACCGAAUAGGGGAGCCGAAGGGAAACCGAGUCUUAACUGGGCGUUAAGUUGCAGGGUAUAGACCCGAAACCCGGUGAUCUAGCCAUGGGCAGGUUGAAGGUUGGGUAACACUAACUGGAGGACCGAACCGACUAAUGUUGAAAAAUUAGCGGAUGACUUGUGGCUGGGGGUGAAAGGCCAAUCAAACCGGGAGAUAGCUGGUUCUCCCCGAAAGCUAUUUAGGUAGCGCCUCGUGAAUUCAUCUCCGGGGGUAGAGCACUGUUUCGGCAAGGGGGUCAUCCCGACUUACCAACCCGAUGCAAACUGCGAAUACCGGAGAAUGUUAUCACGGGAGACACACGGCGGGUGCUAACGUCCGUCGUGAAGAGGGAAACAACCCAGACCGCCAGCUAAGGUCCCAAAGUCAUGGUUAAGUGGGAAACGAUGUGGGAAGGCCCAGACAGCCAGGAUGUUGGCUUAGAAGCAGCCAUCAUUUAAAGAAAGCGUAAUAGCUCACUGGUCGAGUCGGCCUGCGCGGAAGAUGUAACGGGGCUAAACCAUGCACCGAAGCUGCGGCAGCGACACUAUGUGUUGUUGGGUAGGGGAGCGUUCUGUAAGCCUGCGAAGGUGUACUGUGAGGUAUGCUGGAGGUAUCAGAAGUGCGAAUGCUGACAUAAGUAACGAUAAAGCGGGUGAAAAGCCCGCUCGCCGGAAGACCAAGGGUUCCUGUCCAACGUUAAUCGGGGCAGGGUGAGUCGACCCCUAAGGCGAGGCCGAAAGGCGUAGUCGAUGGGAAACAGGUUAAUAUUCCUGUACUUGGUGUUACUGCGAAGGGGGGACGGAGAAGGCUAUGUUGGCCGGGCGACGGUUGUCCCGGUUUAAGCGUGUAGGCUGGUUUUCCAGGCAAAUCCGGAAAAUCAAGGCUGAGGCGUGAUGACGAGGCACUACGGUGCUGAAGCAACAAAUGCCCUGCUUCCAGGAAAAGCCUCUAAGCAUCAGGUAACAUCAAAUCGUACCCCAAACCGACACAGGUGGUCAGGUAGAGAAUACCAAGGCGCUUGAGAGAACUCGGGUGAAGGAACUAGGCAAAAUGGUGCCGUAACUUCGGGAGAAGGCACGCUGAUAUGUAGGUGAAGCGACUUGCUCGUGGAGCUGAAAUCAGUCGAAGAUACCAGCUGGCUGCAACUGUUUAUUAAAAACACAGCACUGUGCAAACACGAAAGUGGACGUAUACGGUGUGACGCCUGCCCGGUGCCGGAAGGUUAAUUGAUGGGGUUAGCGGUAACGCGAAGCUCUUGAUCGAAGCCCCGGUAAACGGCGGCCGUAACUAUAACGGUCCUAAGGUAGCGAAAUUCCUUGUCGGGUAAGUUCCGACCUGCACGAAUGGCGUAAUGAUGGCCAGGCUGUCUCCACCCGAGACUCAGUGAAAUUGAACUCGCUGUGAAGAUGCAGUGUACCCGCGGCAAGACGGAAAGACCCCGUGAACCUUUACUAUAGCUUGACACUGAACAUUGAGCCUUGAUGUGUAGGAUAGGUGGGAGGCUUUGAAGUGUGGACGCCAGUCUGCAUGGAGCCGACCUUGAAAUACCACCCUUUAAUGUUUGAUGUUCUAACGUUGGCCCCUGAUCGGGGUUGCGGACAGUGUCUGGUGGGUAGUUUGACUGGGGCGGUCUCCUCCUAAAGAGUAACGGAGGAGCACGAAGGUUGGCUAAUCCUGGUCGGACAUCAGGAGGUUAGUGCAAUGGCAUAAGCCAGCUUGACUGCGAGCGUGACGGCGCGAGCAGGUGCGAAAGCAGGUCAUAGUGAUCCGGUGGUUCUGAAUGGAAGGGCCAUCGCUCAACGGAUAAAAGGUACUCCGGGGAUAACAGGCUGAUACCGCCCAAGAGUUCAUAUCGACGGCGGUGUUUGGCACCUCGAUGUCGGCUCAUCACAUCCUGGGGCUGAAGUAGGUCCCAAGGGUAUGGCUGUUCGCCAUUUAAAGUGGUACGCGAGCUGGGUUUAGAACGUCGUGAGACAGUUCGGUCCCUAUCUGCCGUGGGCGCUGGAGAACUGAGGGGGGCUGCUCCUAGUACGAGAGGACCGGAGUGGACGCAUCACUGGUGUUCGGGUUGUCAUGCCAAUGGCACUGCCCGGUAGCUAAAUGCGGAAGAGAUAAGUGCUGAAAGCAUCUAAGCACGAAACUUGCCCCGAGAUGAG